GGUUGCGAUCAUACCAGCACUAAUGCACCGGAUCCCAUCAGAACUCCGCAGUUAAGCGUGCUUGGGCGAGAGUAGUACUAGAAUGGGUGACCCCCUGGGAAGUCCUCAUGUUGCAACCC
rnacentral:rRNA from 1 species